rnacentral:rRNA from 1 species
AGAGUUUGAUCCUGGCUCAGGACGAACGCUGGCGGCGUGCUUAACACAUGCAAGUCGAACGAGGGCUCCGGUGCUUGCACUGGAAGACCCGAGUGGCGAACGGGUGAGUAACACGUGACCAACCUGCCCUUGAGAGGGGGACAACCUGGGGAAACCUGGGCUAAUACCGCAUAACAUGUCGUUACCACAUGGUGGUGACAUUAAAGGAGGGCCUCUGCUUGCAAGCUCUCGCUCAAGGAGGGGGUCGCGACGUAUCAGCUUGUUGGUAGGGUAACGGCCUACCAAGGCUACGACGCGUAGCGGGUCUGAGAGGACGAUCCGCCACAUUGGGACUGAGAUACGGCCCAGACUCCUACGGGAGGCAGCAGUGGGGAAUAUUGCGCAAUGGUCGAAAGACUGACGCAGCGACGCCGCGUGUGGGAGGAAGCCUUUCGGGGUGUAAACCACUGUCAGAUGGGAAGAACACUAUUAGUUCGAAUAGGGCUAGUAGCUGACGGUACCAUCAGAGGAAGCACCGGCUAACUCCGUGCCAGCAGCCGCGGUAAUACGGAGGGUGCGAGCGUUGUUCGGAAUUACUGGGCGUAAAGCGCGGGCAGGUGGUCCGUUAAGUCUUUUGUGAAACUCCGGGGCUCAACCCCGG